CCCUGGGGAAAAGCCUAGCUGCGGCUCCAUUCACCGGCAGGGCAGUCCAGCGGUCGUUGGCGUCACCUCUCGCUGCUCCUUCGACCUCAUGGGAUUUCCUCACUGCGGCUUCCAUUGCAAGAGCUUCGGGGUGUGGAUCUUAACAUUUUGUGAUCGAGGCCAUAUCUGGGUUGGAAGAUAUCUAGAAGGUGUUAAUGGCAGGAUGGUUUAUUUGAAGUCUCGAGUGCAUACAGGUUGGCGCUAGCAAAUUCCCAGUGUUUGUGUGGGAUGGAGACAUUAAGCAAUAGAAGAUGGGAGUGAUCAGCUCUAACCGAAGAUUUGGGGCUGUCACGCGGCUCCCAAGGUCAAGUCCUUGUUGCCUGUUGGUCACUUUGCCUGGCUUCGGAAUCUGAACUGCGAGCCCAUAUGGAAGUGCCUGAGAUGGCCAUGGAGUAUGGUCAGCUGAGGAUCGUUGUUGGGACGAACAGUUGGAUGCUGUUGGGGAUGACCAUUGAGAAAGAGCGUUGCUGAUCAAUGCCCGGUCAGCUGAUGGUGGAAGCGAGCAAUGCUUGGUCUGUCAGGCGUCACUCAUGAGUCAUGAUGGUGUGAAGAUCCCAGAAUAAAUCAAGAACCGAAGCUACUUCACGUAGGAGAUAUGAAUCUAGGCAUGAAGUCACAAGUUGGAAGUGUAUUAGUUAGAGCAAAAUCAGCAUCCCGGUAUAAGUAAAGGCAGAGUGGUUGGAAGCAAUCAGCAAAGAGGCGACAUAGCCGCCUAGGAUCGCUGUUAUUCUAGCAAUAACAAAGUCACAAAUCAGAUGGUGGUACAUAUGCGGACACUGCAACGACUUUCCAGAUUAGCAACAUCGUGAUAUACAUCAUCGCUGCGCUGCCAUUGAUCUGAUCCUACGGGUCCCUACAGCGGGACCUUUCUUGCCUAGCAAAGCAUGCUUCUUGCAGUAUCGAAGAAAAGCCGAGCCAUGGUGUGGCGAUUGGAUGAUUAGUUUGGCUUGCCUGUGUUGUCAUAGUCGGUGAGCAUUCACAACGCACAAAUACAUACUUUUGUGAUAGAUUCAUAAUAUAUGCUCUGCAAUUGAGGAAGUGAG